rnacentral:rRNA from 1 species
CAGUUCGGAUCGCAGUCUGCAACUCGACUGCGUGAAGCUGGAAUCGCUAGUAAUCGCGCAUCAGCCAUGGCGCGGUGGAUACGUUCCCGGGCCUUGUACACACCGCCCGUCAAGCCAUGGAAGUCUGGGGGACCUGAAGACGGUAACCGCAAGGAGCCGUUAAGGGUAAAACAGGUAACUAGGGCUAAGUCGUAACAAGGUACC